rnacentral:lncRNA from 1 species
AUGACUCCAGAAUUUUACAUGGAUCCUCCAAGAUACAAUUCACUUGCUCAUACCCUGAAGACAAGCCAAGUUAUCCUUCAGACAGGAAAUGGGAUGUUGGUGGUGGCCCCAAGAAGUGCACAGACUCUGAACUGGAAGAUGAGAGACCACUGUGGAAGGGAUCCAGGUAAGGGAGUUUCUGUGAUCCAGGCCAUGGUGGCAUUAAGCAGUAAAGACUAGUUUCCUCAUGCUGCCCCACUAAAUUCUAG